rnacentral:lncRNA from 14 species
CAUAAAUAAAGAAGGGCUUGUUUCCGUUAUUCAGAGCAGAAAAGUCCUGUUGUGAAACCAAGCAGCUGCCUGCCAUUUGCAGUAUACUCCUGCUCUGCUGGCAGCACAGUUUCGUGUGCUGCCACUCGUUUCAGCAAACAUUUUUUGCUGCCAUAAAGUCAUGAAUACCCCUGAUUCACAUGACAGCAGAAUGGAGGUAUCUAAAGGCCUGCACAUGGAUGCUGAUCCUGGAGAGAUGACUGCAGAAGGCAACAGACAAACACACGACACCUUGUUGCAGCCAUCAGCCUAUGAAAACAGGAUUGCAGCGCUGGAGAUCUCAUGUUGUGAAAUGAAUCGAAGGCUGAUGCGGCUAGAAGACCAAGCAGUGAAGAAAACAGUUUGGUCUACCUCUGUUGAAACUCGACUGGAGUCACUGGAGAGCUACCAUAGGCAGCUUACUGCACCUGUUAAUUACAACAUACAGAAGAUUAGCAAUGAUUCUCAUCCUUACCAGCAGGGACACAGGAAUUGUCAGGAAGCAUUUUCUGGAGAAGUCACCCAAAACGACCUGGUGAAAGAGAACGAGAAGCUGAAAAAGGAAGUCACAGAGCUAAAGAAAAGAAACAAAGAGCUCUUGUCUAAAGUGAUGGGCAAGCACAAUCAGUCUGAGAACAUGAAUGAUGAUUCGCGUCUGUCUGCUGUGCUGGGCAUGUAUAACAUGCUCAUGGUACAUGACUGGGAAAAAUUAAGGCAAAACAUGACCAGUUUGACAAAUAAUGAUGGCAGCAGCAUGAUUAAGAAGCUGUUUGAUGCCUGUGAGACACAUAUCCAGGACACAAUAGCUAAAGUAAAUGAAGUUCUUGGCAUUACACUUUUGGAUGAUGUUAUGACUGACAGCAACCAGGGGGUGAUGCAUGAUAUAAGAAAUAUCCUCAGGCAUUCCCACUACAAAAAGCAACUAGAGCUUUACAGCAACAUUGUCAUGCAAGCUGGCAUUGCCCCAAGAACUGAAACUGAAAGGGUGUUCACACUGAAGUGCUGCCGAGUUUAUUGCUUGCUGUUUCUUCAGAACCCACCGGUUAAAGCUCAGUGGAAAAUAGAGGGAAGCCCAAUAAAAGAUUUAGAGCACAUCAGUCGGAAAGAAGCAAAAAUCUGGAGAAACCCAGAAUUACUGUGGCCCAUAAUGAAACGUGGUGAAGAAGUCAUUGCGAAAGGUGUAGUCUGGGAUUAAAAGUAGCAUGACUUCAGUCAAGCUACUCAUUUACAUGGCCACAAGAUGAAACAGCUGCUGCACAAUAUGCUGCUUUUCUUUCUCCUGUGAACUGCCUGCUUUUCAGAGUUAGUAAGUUAGAUGCUCAGGGCUUGGGGCUCCUAGGAUAAAUCAUUAUUUGCAAACUUAUUAAAAAUUGAAAAUGCUUGCCUCAGUAGCAUAAACAUAUUUCAUGUAACAUUUCUUUUUUGCUGCCUCUUAAGCAGCAUUUUUGUGGAAAGAGAAUCUGUAUUUUUAGCCUACCUUACCUGCUCUUCACAAAUGCUUCAGACACUGUCAGGUAACAGGCUGGAUCUCAGCCACCUCACUUGCCUUCUUAUCAACAGCCAGUAGAAGGACCAGCACUUUACGGGACCCCUAACAGCAGUGGUAUCUCUGUCCUCCCCUGCUUCCUAUAGCAGGUGCGCAAACUGUAGGCUCAUGUUUUCUGCUUCAGCAGCGAGGCUGAAGAUGGCCUGUUGGGAAGCAGGCACCCUUCUUGAGUGAAAAUGUUCUUACCUGAGAAAAUAGAUGAAGGCACUAAAAGACAAGGUUCACAAAGGCUACAGUGGGCUUUCAGAAGGCAGGUGUGCAUAGGUACGUGUACCCAGGCACAGACACUGAGGCCCACUCUUACAUGCCAAAAGACCCCUUGUCUUAACACAAAUGCCUCCUGUCUGUUAGUACUCAGCUGCUUUCCCAUGUCCUUACAAUUUACCCUUCAGCUAGUACCUGCCACAGCUCUUGAUCAAAGUGUUCUGAAACGUUUAUUUCACAGCAUAAGGGGGUUGCAAUGGGGCAAAAGUAUGCUUAUGUGCUCAUGUAACAAAAUAUUCAGUGAGAAUCUUUGAGAUCUGCCAAAUAUACUAGACUGGAAAUCCUGCUCUGUGCCCGAUGAGUCCUUUCCUGCAGUUCUGCUUUCUAGUCCAGCAGUUUCCUCGGCUACACAACCCUCCUGGCAUUUUCUCAAGGGGCCCUAGAA